UGCCAGCAGCCCCGGUAAGAUGCAGCAUCCAACUGUCAUCCGGAAUCAUUGGGCGUAAAGCGCCUGUAGGUUGUUUAUUAAGUCUGUGGUUAAAGACUAGGGCUUAACCCUGGGAAAGCAAUGGAAACUAAUAGACUAGAGUAUGGCAGGGGUAGAGGGAAUUUCUAGUGUAGCGGUGAAAUGCGUAGAUAUUAGAAAGAACACCGGUGGCGAAAGCGCUCUACUGGACCAUUACUGACACUCAGAGGCGAAAGCUAGGGUAGCAAAAGGGAUUAGAUA
rnacentral:rRNA from 1 species